AAAAAAAGCCAAAAAAUAUAGCAGAUUUGUUUUCCAUAAUCCUAUAAAUCCUUUGUGUCAUGGCUAGUACUACUUAGUUAGGACUGGUUGAAUGAGUGUUUGCUUCGGUCGUAUCCAGUGCUGGUUUUAGUUUAGUCCUUUAGAGUUUUGAGUUCUUUGUCACCAUCUAGUCACAACUGCAUCCAAUAUAUUGUGGGUUGGAAUUUGAGUAGAUCUUGAUCAUAGGUGCAGCCACUUGUUGGUCUAUUCUGCGUUUCCAUCAACGUGAUCCACUAGACAUAUUGAAUUUUGAGGUUCAGCCUUACUCUAGUGAGAGGGUGAGAGUGGUGAAGUGAUAUUUUGUACUCUUUUGUUUAUAUAAUCAGGUUUCGAGGUUCCCAAAAAAAAGAAAAGAGAAAGAAAUAAAGAAAUAAAAAAGAAAAAACCAAAAAGAAAAGGGGAUUGUUGUUCCUUUUGUUUCUAUUAGGGCUGCUCAUUUUGUUUCCGGUGGUGUGCUGUGUUUUUCCUUUGUGUCUAGGCUCGCAUCUCUAGCACGGUCUAGGCUAGGACCAGCAUAGUACCACCGUUGAGCGUUUAUUCAACUUGCUUUUUAUAACUAACGUGGUGCUAGUUCGAUCCUUGUUUCAGCCCACCUAUAGCUACACAUAUUCUACAGCUUGAUAGGUCUUAUUGCUGCGGCACCGAUACACUUCGUCCAUUGUUGUGGAUUUGUUGGUAGCCAAUCCCUCCUAUUGAGCAAGGUAAGAAUUGGUAAGAACUUGUUAGACAGGUUGAU
rnacentral:lncRNA from 1 species